rfam:Acyrthosiphon pisum strain LSR1 Contig29895, whole genome shotgun sequence.
UUGCUACGACCCGUAGAUCCGAACUUGUGUCGCAAAGUUUAGUAUCACAAGUUCGUUUCUAGAGGAUACAGCCAC